UGGGGAAUAUUGCACAAUGGGCGAAAGCCUGAUGCAGCGACGCCGCGUGAGGGAUGACGGCCUUCGGGUUGUAAACCUCUUCAGCAGGGACGAAGCGCAAGUGACGGUACCUGCAGAAGAAGCACCGGCUAACUACGUGCCAGCAGCCGCGGUAAUACGUAGGGUGCAAGCGUUGUCCGGAAUUACUGGGCGUAAAGCGUGCGUAGGUGGUUGUUUAAGUCUGUCGUGAAAGCCCUGGGCUCAACCUGGGAAUUGCGAUGGAAACUGGGCGACUAGAGUGUGGCAGAGGAUAGUGGAAUUCCUGGUGUAGCAGUGAAAUGCGUAGAGAUCAGGAGGAACAUCCGUGGCGAAGGCGACUGUCUGGGCCAACACUGACACUGAGGCACGAAAGCGUGGGGAGCAAACAGGAUUAGAUACCC
rnacentral:rRNA from 1 species